UCCCUUCUUCGACCUGAAGCGACACUUUCCUGUGCUCUAGGAGGACUUGGGUCUUGUGAGAGUCGCCCUUUGCUCCUGGAGUCGUCUCACAAGGCCGUUCACUCCCUGCUUUCUUCAAAAAAAGAACCUGCAGGCGACACACCAAGGACUCCACGAGGGAGUCCUGAGUACUGGAGCGAGUUGCGGCCACGCGGCCGCAGCUCACCACUGGCCUAGAGAUGCCCUUUGCGAGGCGGCAGCAACUGACAAGAUGGUCGCGGGUCGCCGGGUCCGGAGCCGCCCACCAGGUUGCCAGGAGGAGGCGGGAGCGGGGAGGCGCCCGAGGUGAGACAGGGGCACCCUCUGCAUCAUAAAGGACCCAGACCCCGGCACCCUCAACAUCAUAAGGAAUCAGACGGAUGCGGAAACCGAGACGGGCUGGAUAGGAAACUCUUUCCAGGAAGGCUCCGGGGCACUCAACUGGUCUCCAACCUUCCCCUGCAACCUGUGACGCCUGCCAUUUUCCCAUUUUAGGCGAUGGCAACGCAACCCCUCCGUUUGCUCUGGGCAAAACUUCGAGAGUUCCCUCUGAAGCUGGAGCUUUUUCCUCAGAUCCAAGAUCCAAUUGGUCACCAAUUCGUGAUUUCCGUCGGCCAAGUGCGUGGGCAUUGAUCUACACGCGAGUUUCUCCACCUCUGCCGAAUGGCUACUUCGGGGUGGGGGAGGGGCCCUCCCGCCGUGGAUUGCAAGGUGUUUAGCAGCAUCUGUCUCCUCCGCUGACUAGACACAUGCCAGGGGGAUAACAUUCUCCCUCCCGCUUCCCCCAGCCGCGGCCUAGUGUCCCAGCGGGGUUGGGAGAGGCAUGUGAGGGCGAAGUUGCCCCCUGUUGAGAACCAUUGCUGCGCGUAGUCCUUCUCUCUGAACUUGUGCAGAGGACUCUCCAGGUGAAGGCUCAAGGGUGGAUCCAGCUCGAGACACCCUCGCUCCCCCUCACAGUCGGACCUUAGGAUUUAGGCUUUAACAUCUCCACAUCAUGAGAUUCGAAACCUUUAGGUCUUGUCUUCCGUUCUGUCCUCCAAAUCGGCCUCUUCCGAGCCUGUUGACCAGGGCCAGCCGGGCAGAGGGCUGGGCUCGCUCAACGAGGCUCCUCUCGCACCUCCUGGAGCUUCAGGCUUCUUUCCGUUGCAGAGAAGCUUUAUGGGCCAAUUCGUUCGGCAUCCCCGGGGGCAGGUGCGCGGUGCGCGGGGAAGAAGAGGAUUUGACUGCGGUUCUCCACCCCCGGCGCCCAACCUCCACCCCGGUGCGCGCGCUCUUCCAGGCUCCUGCUGGUCCCACUUGCCAGGAGUUAGGUCUCAGGUCAGCCUGAGCUCCUGAGACGCCCAGGCCCGGAAAGACACGUAGGGGAAACCAUCUGCUCACUUCUGUCCUGUCCGGAAGGGAUCCCUUUCUGACGGGAAAGAAAGGCGGUGAGUCCUGUCCUGUUGAGUAGGCGGAAGAGAGAUCAAAGGGAAGACAAGAAAAAUCCUGUGAGUUUUCAGGAUCUAAAGUUACCAUGAGGUCGACCUAACCUCCUCUGGAGGUCCUCCCGGUCCUCCCGUGGCUGUCGAAGGUGAAUCUAGCUUCCGUCUCCAGUUCGCCAAGGCGGACAAAGCCGACGACAAUGGGCCUGUCCACUAUCUUCUUUCAUAUGCACAAAAUGUCAGCUCUUCUUGUUUCUAACUUGCAACAUCCCACCUGAUGACCAGCUCAGCAAAUUAGAGACCCUCCAUGGGAUUCCAUCUCUGUCUUAGUUCGGGCUUCCAUAACUAUAUACCAUAAACUGGGUGGCUAAUUCACGACAGAAAUUUAUUUCUCACAGUUCUGGAGGUUGGAAGUCCGAGAUCAAGGUGCCAACAUGCUAAACAAGCACUGGCCUUGAGAUAAGCAAUGCUGAAGCACUUGCAGCUCACCUAUUACCAUAAACUGACUGAGCCCUCCCUACACAAGCCGUAACUACUGCUUUGAUUGGACAAGAGACUGAUUUCAGUAGUUUUCUCUUGAUAAGAGACCACUGGCCGUGGGCGGGUUCUGGACAGUUUACAGAAGCUAUGCACUUGAUUGCCUUUGUGUCCCUGCUUCACCUUUUGAAGCAUAGGGCCUAAUUAUAAUGUAUUUAAAUGUUGUCUCCACCCCAAAGUGAACAUGGGUUGCAUGUAACAGGCAUGUUUACUCAGCAUGCAUGCAGCAGGAUCCCUUCACAAAUAUUCAGAGCUCCCCCUAUUCCCUGUUGAAUAUGUAUAUGUGGCCAGCCAGAUCAACGUAAAUCACUAUUCGCCCUCCCCUCCCUGGAAACCUACUUUUCGGGUUUCAGCAGGAAGCUAUGCCUCCCAGUCUGUCAGAAUGGCCACUUGCAGGCUGUAACCCUUUAUAAAAAAAUAAAAUCUCCUUUCUAAAUUU
rnacentral:lncRNA from 1 species